UCAAGUGACUAAGUGUAUGUGGUGGAUGCCUUGGCGAUCACAGGCGAAGAAGGACGUAGUAGCUUGCGAUAAGCUGCGGGGAGCCGGCAAACGGGCAUUGAUCCGCAGAUUUCCGAAUGGGGGAACCCACCGACUUAGGUCGGUAUCACACACUGAAUACAUAGGUGUGUGAGGCGAACGGAGCGAACUGAAACAUCUAAGUAGCUCCAGGAAAAGAAAUCAACCGAGAUUGCGAAAGUAGCGGCGAGCGAAAUCGCAGCAGCCCAGUGUUCUGAUAGCACGAACGACAGCAGAAAGGUCUGGAAAGGCCUGCUAUAGAGGGUGAUAGCCCCGUAUGCGAAAUCGAACGUGUGGUACUAAGGAACCGAUAAGUAGGGCGGGACACGUGACAUCCUGUCUGAAGAUGGGGGGACCAUCCUCCAAGGCUAAAUACUCGUGAUCGACCGAUAGUGAACCAGUACUGUGAAGGAAAGGCGAAAAGAACCCCGGGAGGGGAGUGAAAUAGAACCUGAAACCGCAUACAUACAAACAGUAGGAGCCCGUGUAGUCGGGUGACUGCGUACCUUUUGCAUAAUGGGUCAGCGACUUACGUUUUGUGGCGAGCUUAACCGAGUAGGGGAGGCGUAGCGAAAGCGAGUUCGAAUAGAGCGAGAAGUCUCAAGGCGUAGACCCGAAACCAGAUGAGCUAUCCAUGGCCAGGUUGAAGGUGUGGUAACACACACUGGAGGACCGAACCGACUAGUGUUGCAAAAUUAGCGGAUGAGCUGUGGAUAGGGGUGAAAGGCUUAACAAAUCUGGAGAUAGCUGGUUCUCCCCGAAAACUAUUGAGGUAGUGCCUCGUGUAUUGCUCCAGGGGGUAGAGCACUGUUAUGGCUAGGGGGACAUGGCGUCUUACCAAACCAUGGCAAACUCCGAAUACUUGGAAGUAAGAGCACGGGAGACAGAGCACCGGGUGCUAACGUCCGGACUCAAGAGGGAAACAACCCAGACCGCCGUUUAAGGUCCCAAAUAUUGACUAAGUGGAAAACGAAGUGUGAAGGCUAAGACAGUCAGGAAGUUGGCUUAGAAGCAGCCAUCCUUCAAAGAAAGCGUAAUAGCUCACUGAUCGAGUCCUCAUGCGCGGAAGAUGUAACGGGGCUAAGUCAAUAACCGAAAGCGCGGAUUUGCACGAUAAGUGCAAGUGGUAGGGGAGCGUUCUGUAAGCCUGCGAAGGUGGUUCGAGAGGACUGCUGGAGGUAUCAGAAGUGCGAAUGCUGACAUGAGUAACGUUAAAGCGGGUGAAAAGCCCGCUCGCCGUAAGCCCAAGGUUUCCUGCUCUACGUUCAUCGGAGCAGGGUGAGUCGGCCCCUAAGGCCAGGCUGAGAAGCGUAGUCGAUGGGAAGCAGAUUAAUAUUUCUGCACCAUGUGCAAGUGCGAUGGGGGGACGGAGUGCGAAAGAUCAUCCGGGUGUUGGAUGUCCCGGUUUGUGAGUGUAGAAGGCCGACAGGCAAAUCCGUCGGCGGAUCUUCGAGACAAAGCAUCGAGGUUCUACGGAACCGAAGUGAUCGGAAGUGCUUCCAGGAAAAGCCUCUAAGCUCCAGCUUGCAUGUGACCGUACCGUAAACCGACACUGGUGGGCGAGUUGAAUAUACUCAGGCGCUUGAGAGAACUCGGGAGAAGGAACUCGGCAAAUUGACACCGUAACUUCGGGAUAAGGUGUGCCUUUGUAGCGUGAAGAGAGAAACACUCGGAGCGUGAAGAGGCCUCAGAGAAUCGGUGGCUGCAACUGUUUAUUAAAAACACAGCACUCUGCAAAGACGAAAGUCGACGUAUAGGGUGUGAUGCCUGCCCGGUGCUGGAAGAUUAAGUGAUGGGGUGAGAGCUCCUGAUCGAAGUCCCAGUAAACGGCGGCCGUAACUAUAACGGUCCUAAGGUAGCGAAAUUCCUUGUC
rnacentral:rRNA from 1 species